rnacentral:sRNA from 1 species
GCCAGGCACAGUGGCCUUUGCCUGUAAUCACAGCAGAUUGGGAGGUUGAGGCAGGAGGAUCACUAACAGCCUGGGCAAGUUAGUGAGACUCUGUCUCAA